rnacentral:rRNA from 1 species
AUUGAACGCUGGCGGCAGGCCUAACACAUGCAAGUCGAGCGAGCGGCGGACGGGGGAGAAAUGUAUGGGGACUGCCCGAUAGAGGGGGAUAACUCCUGGAGACGGUAGCUAAUACAGCACACUAUCGGAUAAUCCAUAUGGGAUUAGCUAGUAGGUGAGGUAAUGGCUCACCUAGGCGACGAUCCCUAGCUGGUCUGAGAGGAUGAUCAGCCACACUGGGACUGAGACACGGCCCAGACUCCUACGGAGGCAGCAGUGGGGAAUAUUGCACAAUGGGCGCAAGCCUGAUGCAGCCAUGCCGCGUGUAUGAAGAAGGCCCUCGGGUUGUAAAGUACUUUCAGUCGGGAGGCGUUACCGACAGAAGAAGCACCGGCUAACUCCGUGCCAGCAGCCGCGGUAAUUC